UGAAGAGGAAUAAUUUUUCUCAUACUUGUUCUAGCAGUAGAAGAAAAAAGACCGUACGAAAUGCUACCAAACAUUGGAUAUGUUGGAAGGUGAAGGACUUUCUGAUACAAGAGCCUAUUUUGGGAGCAAGAGCUUUGCAAAAGAAACUCAAAGAGCACCACAAGGUGAGCAUUCCCUACCACAGGGUAUAUAAGGGUCAACAACUUGCAUUGAAAUGACUUUAUGGUGAUUGGGACAUUAGCUUUGAUAAUCUAUUUAGCUUCAAAGCAGAAGUAGAGAGAUCUUGUCCUGGUAGCUUAGUAAUUAUUGAUCAUUAUACAGUAAAUGGGAAAAUCAGAUUCAGGAGAUUUUUCUUUGCCAUGAAACCUUGCAUAGAUGGCUUCCUCAAUGGUUGUAGACCUUACUUGGCAAUAGACAGCACAUUCCUGACAGGCAAGUUCAAAGGGCAAUUGGCUAGUGCUUCUGCAGUUGAUGGACAUAAUUGGUUGUAUCCUCUUUGUGUUGGAGUUUUUUAUUCCGAAACUAAUGACAACUGGAUCUGGCUCAUGAGUAGGCUUAGAGAGGCUAUUGGAUCACCUUUGGGUUUAGCGAUAAGCACUGAUGCAGGCCAGGCAAUCAUGGCAGCUGUUGCUGAAGUGUUUCCAGAGGCAGAGCAUAGAGAGUGCAUGUAUCAUUUGGUUACCAAUUUCAAGAAGAGGUAUCGUGGAAAGGUGUUUGAUGAAAACCUGUGGGCAGCAGCUUACUCCUGGAACCCAUACAUAUUUGAGAAACACUGGGCACUAAUGGAGAAAGAAAAGCCUACUGCAACUAAUUAUCUAAGGAAGUCUCACACGAAGUUGUGGACUAGAAGUCAAUUCUCUACUAAUUGCAAAGUGGACUAUGUGACCAACAACUUGGCUGAGUGCUUCAACAAUUGGAUUAAAGAGUACAAGUCCAUGAAUUUGGAUGGUUUGAUGGAUAAGAUCAGACAAUUAAUUAUGAUCAAGUGGAACCCAAGGAGGACAAUUGGAAAGAAGUUAGAUGGCUUGAUUCUUCCCCAUAUAAUCAAAAAGUUAAAUGAAAAGAGUAGAAAUUUGAACUUGGAAGUGUCUGGAUGCUCAGAGGAGGUGGUUGAAAUUACUUUGCUUGGUGGCAGCGGCUUUAGGUUUGUGGUGAACUUGGCUCAACGAACAUGUUGUUGCAGAAAAUGGCAAGUCUCUGGCAUUCCUUGCAAACAUGCACUAGCAUUCAUUACAUCACUACCUAAUGCACCUAUUGAGAAAUAUGUGGACUUGUACUACUCCAUCGACAAAUUUAGAGUAGCAUAUAGUGCAUUAAUCCCUGCUAUGGCUGAUAAGACACGCUGGCCUAAAGCUGACCAUGGCUUCUUCAUGCAUCCACCACUACUAAAGUCUGUAACUGGUAGGCAUAAAACUGAGAGACAUAAAGCCUCUAGUGAUAAGAAGACAAAAAGGGGCAGCACCAAUGUCCUAUCUGUAAGGAAUACGGGCAUCACUGGCAGAGUUGCAGGAAGGGCAGCAAAGAAGACAUUGAGGCGAUGAAAACUUUGAGGGACACCAGCAAAGAGAAAAAAAGUUACCAAAUCAGCACAGAGUUCCAUUGUGCCAUUGGAGGAUGAAGCACCACCACGUUCUAUGACUUUUCCACCAAGUCAAAAUUUGGAACCUGAACCCACAAGUAAUAAGAAGAGAAAGGGCACUGACUCCACUUGUGGAGCAUCAGGAAGCUUGGAGAUUACUAGUAGGAAAAAGGGAAAGCGGGAUUACUCUAACUCUGGAGCAUCAAAAAGGUCAAGGAGUGGUUCAAAUCAACCUGAGCAUGUUUCAAUUGAGCUUCCUAUGUCCAAAGACCAACCAAAAGUUAAUGUCAAGUUAAAGGGCAAAAGGAGGAAGAAAGAAGUUGAUAAAACUGCUGCAAAAACUAAUUUGUUGCAGUUUGAUAGCCUGGCAAUGGGCACAAGGAGCAAAAGACUUCAGCCUAGUAGUCCUGCACUAGGCACAAGAAGCAAAAGAAGAUUGAGUUUGUGAUUCCUGUAUGAGAAAAGAUGCUUUAGUAUGUGUUCUGUUAGACCUAUCUAUGUGGAGAUCUCAUCUAUGUGUAAAUCUAUGAGAAUAUUAUUGUGCUUGUCUACCUGUAUGUUACUCCUAUUAUGAUUAUGCACUCUAAUUAUAUUGAA